ensembl:lncRNA
UUUGCUUUUUGCAAGGCUGAAAUAGCACUUGACUUUUUAAAUGGGGUUUUCAUUUAAUUUGUUGCUCCUGUCCUAUUGCUCUCUCCAUCUUCUGGUGUCUCCAGGCUUUGACUAAUGAAACCACUAGCCAGACUUACAGGAAGAGCCAAAAGUUACAUGGUUCCAGAUCUGAUGAAUAAGGUGGAUGAGAACACACCAAAAUUUUUUUAUGAGCCUGCCUUUCCACUGGAUGGCAUUUGGCAGCAUUCACUGCACUUUUGCCAUAGCUUGUGAAGACACUCAUGAAAGAGGAUCUCCAGAACUGCUUUAGAAAGUGGCAAGAACAAUGAGGUGAAUUGAUAAAGAAAAUGUAGUAUAAUAAUACAACAGAAUAUUAUUCAGCCUUAAAAAAGAAGAAAAUACUGCAAUAUGUGAAAACAUGGAUGAAUCUGGAGGACAAUGCUUCAGGCGGAACGCACGCCGAGUCAGCCCGCUGCGGACGGGCAGGUCUGUGCACGCCCUGCCGAGGUCCUGAGUCACGCGGAAGACACCGAAUCACCCCACUGCAGACAGGCAGCCACCUGAUUCCACAUUACCAAGGCGCAGAGGACACCAGACCACCAGACCAAGGUACGGAGUCCCACUGUUCCCGGCCCAGAGGUAGGGGCUUCUGAGCUGUCGUCCUACUGCUCCUGGUCCAGAGGAGGGGGCUUCCCGGUCACCAUCC